rnacentral:lncRNA from 1 species
CGCCGCGGCGCCCACGUCAGCCAGCGCUUGCCGGCCGUAGGCGGCUAUCGCGGUCGACACGCCUAGGACGCUGCUGGCGGUCACGGGGUCCGCGAGGAUGCGCAGCCGCACUUCGGCAGGCAAGUCCAUCGCGGUGCCAACGUCGCCAUCGCCACCGCCAUUAUCGUCUUGCCUGUCGUACACGUCGCCAAAGUUGGUGUCGGCAUUGUUGCCGUCUAUCGAAAAAUCGCUUUGUCCCGUGUGUUCCAUGUCGAUCGGCAACAGCAAGUGCCCUGCCCGUAAGGAACUCUUUUUUUUUCUUAAGAGACGCCAAUCACAG